CCCCAACCAAUAUUAUAGCUUGUCUUCUUCUUCUGGCCCUUUGAAGCUCCCUAAGCAACAAGAACUGAGGACCGGUACCCUUCCCAAUGCCCUUUUACCAGCCCUCCCCUUUAUUUCCUGUGACAAAACCCAGGUUGGAACAGAGCAAAAUAAAGCACCCCACCACAGAAAACGGAGGCAAAGACAGUGAAGUAUCAUUAUUCACUGCCCCAUUCACAUUUCACCACCC
rnacentral:lncRNA from 1 species